UACGGAGGGAGCUAGCGUUGUUCGGAAUUACUGGGCGUAAAGCGCACGUAGGCGGCUUUGUAAGUUAGAGGUGAAAGCCCGGGGCUCAACCCCGGAAUUGCCUUUAAGACUGCAUCGCUUGAAUCCAGGAGAGGUGAGUGGAAUUCCGAGUGUAGAGGUGAAAUUCGUAGAUAUUCGGAAGAACACCAGUGGCGAAGGCGGCUCACUGGACUGGGUAUUGACGCUGAGGUGCGAAAAGCGUGGGGAGCAAACAGG
rnacentral:rRNA from 1 species